GUUGUAGUGGUGUAGUGGUUAUCACGUCAGUCUUACACACUGAAGGCCUCCUGGGCAACAACA
rnacentral:tRNA from 1 species